rnacentral:rRNA from 1 species
GACGAACGUUGGCGGCGUGCUUAAUACAUGCAAGUCGACUGAAGCAGCGGUAGCAAUAUCGCUGUGGAGGUGGCGCACGGGUGAGUAACACGUAGGUAAUCUGCCUUCAGGUCUGGCAUAACUCCGGGAAACCGGGGCUAAUAGCAGAUGAUGCAGCGGCUCGACAUCGAGACGGUUGUUAAAGCUAUGGCGCCUGAAGAUGAGCCUGCGUCUGAUUAGCUAGUUGGCGGGGUAACGGCCCACCAAGGCAACGAUCAGGAGCUGGACUGAGAGGAUGAUCAGCCACAUUAGAAGUGAGACAGGGACCAGAAUACUACGGGGAGCAGCAGUAAGGAAAAUUGCUCAAUGGGAGAAAUCCUGAAGCAGCAACGCAGCGAGAGGGACGAAGGGCUUUUGCUUGUAAACCUCUGUAGUGAGAGAAAAAAAUCCCAAUCUUUGGGACAUGAUGGUAACUCAAAAGUAAGCCCCGGCUAACUACGUG